AGAGAGAGACAUGCGCGCAUAUCAAUAAGCGGAGGAAAAGAAACUAACAAGGAUUCCCUUAGUAACGGCGAGUGAAGCGGGAAGAGCUCAAAUUUGAAAUCUUCAAGGUUUUACCUUGACGAAUUGUAGUUUAAAGAAGUGUUUUCUGCUGAAGUUUUGGUAAAAGUUCUUUGGAAUAGGACAUCAUAGAGGGUGAGAAUCCCGUAUUUGACCAUUAUUUUCAGCUUUGUGAUACACUUUCAAAGAGUCGGAUUGUUUGGGAAUGCAGUCCAAAAUGGGUGGUAAAUUUCAUCUAAAGCUAAAUAUUGGCGAGAGACCGAUAGCGAACAAGUACCGUGAGGGAAGAUGAAAAGAACUUUGAAAAGAGAGUUAAACAGUACGUGAAAUUGUCAAAAGGGAAGCGUUUGACACCAGUGUUGUUUUCUCGAAAAUCAAUUAAAAAUGGCUCGAUUUUGUAUUGCUUGAGACCUUAAAAGCUCACUGUACAUUUUUCGUGUCUUUUUUAAUGCACUUUUCGUUUAACAAGUCGACAUCAGUUUCUUUUGUUGUAAAAGGGUCAUUGGAAGGUGGCUUUCUUUUCGGAGAAAGUGUUUAUAGCCUUUGACCUCUGCAAUCGGAGAGAUUGAGGUCUGCAGCGUAGACUCUUCGGGGUUAGAUACAUUUGUGCUAAGUUAUAGCUUUUUAUAGACAACUUGUUGACUAUAAUUAGUCUUGUAGCUUACUCGCUUAUGCUAUUUUACCUACGCUUAGGAUGUUGAGUCGUAGAGCACGCAG
rnacentral:rRNA from 1 species